rnacentral:rRNA from 1 species
AACUAACGCUGGCGGCGUGCCUAACACAUGCAAGUCGUACGAGAAAGCCGGCUUCGGCUGGUGAGUAAAGUGGCGCACGGGUGAGUAACGCGUGGAUAAUCUGCCCUUAAGUGUGGAAUAACGUACCGAAAGGUGCGCUAAUACCGCAUAAUGCCUGGCAACACAAGUUGUCCGGCCAAAGAAGGCCUCUGUUUACAAGCUUUCGCUUCAGGAUGAGUCCGCGUACCAUUAGCUUGUUGGUGGGGUAAUGGCCUACCAAGGCUGCGAUGGUUAGCUGGUCUGAGAGGAUGAUCAGCCACACUGGAACUGAGACACGGUCCAGACUCCUACGGGAGCAGCAGUGAGGAAUAUUGCGCAAGUGGGGGCAACCCUGACGCAGCAACGCCGCGUGAGUGGAGGUAAGGUUUCGGACUGUAAAGCUCUGUCGAGGACGGGAAGAAGUGUACCAUGGCUAAUAUCCAUGAUAUUGACGGUACGCUAGA